rnacentral:rRNA from 1 species
AUUGAACGCUGGCGGCAGGCCUAACACAUGCAAGUCGAGCGAGCGGCGGACUUGUGAGUAAUGUAUGGGGACUGCCCGAUAGAGGGGGAUAACUACUGUAAACGGUAGCUAAUACCGCAUACUAUCGGAUAACCCAUAUGGGAUUAGCUAGUAGGUGUGGUAAUGGCUCACCUAGGCGACGAUCCCUAGCUGGUCUGAGAGGAUGAUCAGCCACACGGGGACUGGGACACGGCCCAGACUCCUACGGAGGCAGCAGUGGGGAAUAUUGCACAAUGGGCGCAAGCCUGAUGAAGCCAUGCGGCGGGUAGGAAGAAGGCCCUAGGGUUGUAAAGUACGUUCAGUCGGGAGGCGUUACCGAAAGAAGAAGCACCGGCUAACUCCGUGCCAGCAGCCGCGGUAAUUC